AAAAAAAAAAAAAUGGGUCUGGUUAUUUCAAUUUGGUAUCAGAGCGAUUACAGUUCUAGGAUGUGUAGAAAAAUUAAUUGAUGAAUUAUUUUCCUGAUGAUUGAAGUGGGAUGAGCUAGGGUGUUAGCAUACUGAGGAUUGAUUAUGGAGUGUUUAGUCAAUUGUUUGUUGUUGGAGUCCUAGCAUCAUCUUCUCCAAGCCUUAAAUGAGAUUCCACGGUAAGUUGUUUGUGAUAUAUUCGUUGUUCUAGUUUCUUAGGCUUUUGUUCUUGAGUAGCGCAGUGGUUAGAGGAGCUGGAGUUCGUGGUCGUGGUCGCGGUAGAGGACAAGUCCUCGAGGGUACCGGCGAGAGUGAUGGCCACAGUGCCACAGUUGAGCAUAGUGUGGGUUCCCAGCCUGAGUUUGUGGAGCCCGGGGUUGGGGACGGUCUUGGUGCCGAUAUAGCUGGUGCAACCGGAGUGGGGGCUGGUGGAGCUGGUUUCGGUGCCGGUGUGCAUGCCGUUGGUACUGAGGGCCCAAGAGUGAUGGGUGCCGCACCGGAGGAGCCCAGGUUCCAGAGGUUGGUUUGGCGGGCCUACCGAGGCAGUUGUUGGAGCGGUUACCAGGUGUGGUACCAGUGCAGCCUCCAGUUGCGCCACGAGUGGCGGAGGUGCAGCAGAGGGAUGCGGUUGCUGAGGAGGUUCCAUCUUACUUGAGGAUGAUGGAGCAGUUGCAGAGGAUUGGCACCGGGUAUUUUUCUGGUGGUACUAGUCCUGAGGAGGCCGACAGUUGGAGGUCGCGGGUUGAGCGGACUUUUGGUUCGAGAAGAUGCCGGGCGGAGUAUCGGGUGGAUCUGGCAGUGCAUUUUCUAGAGGGGGAUGCACAUUUGUGGUGGCGGAGUGUGACUGCCAGGAGGAGGCAGGCAGAUAUGUCUUGGGCAGAUUUCGUGGCUGAGUUUAAUGUCAAGUACUUUCCGUAGGAGGCGCUCGAUCGUAUGGAGGCGCGUUUUCUUGAGCUGACACAGGGUGAGCGGUUGGUUCGGGAGUAUGACCGGGAGUUUAACCGACUUUUGGUGUAUGCGGGUCGGAGCAUGGAGGAUGGCCAGACCCAGAUGAGAAGGUUCUUGAGGGGACUUCGACCGGAUUUGAGGGUGCGGUGUAGAGUGUCGCAGUACGCCACGAAGGCGGCACUGGUGGAGACGGUUGCUGAGGUAGAGGAGGACCUUCAGAGGCAGGUGGUGGCAGUGAGUCCAGCGGUACAACCGAAGAAGACUCAGCAGCAGGUGGCACCUAGCAAGGGCGGCAAGCCUGCGAAGGGGCAGAAGAGGAAGUGGGAUCAUCCUUCUAGAUCUGGACAGGGUGGUCGUGCAGGAUGUUUUUCUUGUGGGAGCCUUGACCACAAGGUAGCGGAUUGCACGCAGCGAGAUGAGACGAGGGAGUGCUACCACUGCAGGGAGAGGGGACAUAUCAAGUCAAAUUGUCCUAAGCUGCAGCGGAUGACAGUGGCAGUAGUACAGCAGGUGGUGCAGCACGGAGCGCGGGUGCAGCAGGGAGUGCAUCAGUUAGCACAUAUUGCAGCGGCAGCGCAGGGUUACACUACGCGUGAGAUAGGCGGUACCAGCAACAGAGCGAUUACUGGUAUGAUUUCUGAGACUCAGACUUUGUGAAUUAUUUUUGUUAUUUUGGAUAUCAUUGUUUUGUGAUGAAUGUUAGGGUUUUUAGCACAUGAGGUUUGUGUAGGGACCUUAUUAGUGGGCGGUGUAGAGACCCAUGUGUUGUUUGACUCUGGAGCAUCGCAUUGCUUCAUUACCCCGGAGAGUGCCUCGCGCGACAACAUCCGUGGGGAUCCUGCCGAGCAGUUUGGAGCCGUCAAGGUUGCUGGAGGGCAGUUUCUAGCGGUUCUAGGGAGAGCGAAGAGUGUGGAUAUUCAGAUUGUAGGGGAGUCAAUGCCAGCAGAUUUGAUUAUCAGCCUUGUAGAGUUGUAUGAUGUUAUUCUGGGAAUGGAUUGGUUGGGUCCUUACUGAGUACAUCUUGACUGCCACCGUGGGAGAGUUUCUUUUGAGCGGCCGAAAAGGAGGUUGGUUUAUCAGGGAGUGAAACCUACCUCAGGGAGUCUCGUCAUCUCAGCAGUGCAUGCAGAGAAAAUGAUCGAGAAGAGUUGCGAAGCUUACCUGGUGACAAUAUCUAUGCCGGAGUCUGUGGGGCAGGUAGCAGUGAGCGACAUUCGGGUUGUUCAAGAGUUGGAGGAUGUGUUUCAAUCGUUGCAGGGAUUACCAUCAUCACGGUCUGAUCCUUUCACGAUUGAGUUGGAACCAGGGACAGCGCCGUUGUCUAAGGCACCCUACAGGAUGGCUCCAGCAGAGAUGGCAGAGCUAAAGAAGCAGCUAGAAGAUUUGUUGGGUAAGGGAUUCAUUCGUCCUAGUACUUCACCUUGGGGAGCGCCGGUGUUAUUUGUGAAGAAGAAAGACGGGACUUUCCGCUUAUGUAUUGACUACCGGGGGUUGAACCGGGUCACAGUGAAGAACAAGUACCCUUUGCCAAGGAUCGAUGAGUUGUUGGAUCAGUUGAGGGGUGCUACUUGUUUCUCUAAAAUCGAUUUGACGUCGGGUUAUCACCAGAUCCCGAUAGCGGAGGCAGAUGUUCGCAAGACUGCUUUCAGGACGAGAUAUGGACAUUUUGAGUUCGUGGUGAUGCCUUUCGGUUUGACUAAUGCACCUGCAGCGUUCAUGAGGUUGAUGAACAGCGUGUUCUUGGAGUUUUUGGAUGAGUUUGUGAUCAUCUUUAUUGAUGACAUUCUGGUGUAUUCUAAGAGUCCUGAGGAGCAUGAGGUACAUCUGAGGAGAGUGAAGGAGAAGCUGCGGGAGCAGAAGUUGUUCGCUAAGUUGAGUAAGUGCAGUUUCUGGCAGAGAGAGAUGGGUUUUCUGGGUCACAUUGUUUCUGCAGAGGGAGUUUCAGUGGAUCUAGAGAAGAUUGAGGCUAUUAGAGACUGGCCUAGACCGACAAAUGCCACUAAGAUCAGGAGUUUUCUUGGGUUGGCAGGGUAUUACAGGAGGUUCGUCAAGGGGUUUGCGAGUAUGACACAGCUGAUGACUAAGCUGACAGGGAAGGAUGUUUCUUUUGUGUGGUCACCGGAGUGCGAGGAGGGUUUCGUGAGCCUGAAGGAGAUGCUGACGAGUACACCAGUGUUAGCAUUGCCAGAGCAUGGAGAGCCUUACAUGGUGUAUACUGAUGCCUCGAGAGUUGGUUUGGGUUGUGUUCUGAUGUAGCGUGGGAAGGUUAUUGCUUAUGCAUCACGGCAGUUUAGGAAGCAUGAGGGUAACUAUCCUACUCACGAUUUGGAGAUGGCUGCGGUAAUCUUUGCCUUGAAGAUUUGGAGGUCUUAUCUUUAUGGCGGGAAAGUGCAGGUGUUCACAGAUCAUAAGAGUUUGAAGUAUAUCUUCACUCAGCCAGAGUUGAACCUGAGGCAGAGGCGUUGGAUGGAGCUGGUGGCUGAUUAUGAUCUGGAGAUAGCUUACCAUCCUGGUAAGGCUAAUGUGGUUGCAGACGCGUUGAGCCGUAAGCGCGUGGGUGCGGCUCUAGGGCAGAGUGUUGAGGCCUUGGUGAGUGAGAUUGGUGCUUUGCGGUUGUGUGCUGUGGCACGAGAGCCAUUGGGAUUGGAAGCUGUGGAUCGAGCAGAUCUUCUGACUAGAGUUCGGUUGGCUCAGGAGAAGGAUGAGGGGUUGAUUGCAGCUUCUAAGGCAGAGGGCUUUGAGUAUCAGUUUGCAGCUAAUGGAACUAUCCUUGUGCAUGGGCGAGUUUGUGUGCCUAAAGAUGAGGAGUUGCGGCGGGAGAUCUUGAGUGAGGCUCAUGCGAGCAUGUUUUCCAUUCAUCCAGAAGCGACUAAGAUGUACCGAGACCUCAAGCGGUACUAUCAGUGGGUCGGGAUGAAGAGGGAUGUAGCUAAGUGGGUUGCAGAGUGCGAUGUUUGCCAGUUAGUUAAGGCUGAGCAUCAGGUGUCGGGUGGCCUGUUGCAGAGUUUACCCAUUCCUGAGUGGAAGUGGGAUUUUAUCACGAUGGAUUUCGUGGUUAGGUUGCCUGUGUCGCGAACCAAAGAUGUUAUUUGGGUGAUCGUGGACCGUCUUACUAAGUCAGCACAUUUUCUGGCCAUCAGAAAAACCGAUGGAGCGACGGUGUUGGCUAAGAAAUAUGUGAGCGAGAUCGUGAAGUUGCAUGGAGUACCUGUGAGUAUUGUGUCAGACAGGGAUUCCAAGUUUACUUCUGCAUUUUGGAGAGCCUUUCAGGCAGAGAUGGGCACUAAGGUGCAGAUGAGCACGGCUUCUCAUCCACAGACAGAUGGGCAAUCUGAGAGGACUAUUCAGACGCUUGAGGAUAUGUUGCGGAUGUGUGUCUUUGAUUGGGGAGGUCAUUGGGCGGAUCACUUGAGUCUGGUAGAGUUUGCUUAUAACAACAUCUAUCAGGCGAGUAUUGGGAUGGCUCCUUUUGAGGCGUUGUACGGGAGGCCAUGCAGGACACCGUUAUGCUGGACCCAAGUGGGGGAGAGGAGCAUAUAUGGUGCAGAUUAUGUUCAGGAAACCACGGAGAGGAUCCGGAUUCUUAAGCUGAACAUGAAGGAAGCUCAGGAUCGACAGCGGAGUUAUGCUGACAAGAGGAGGAGAGAGCUUGAGUUUGAGGUUGGGGACAUAGUGUAUCUCAAGAUGGCCAUGUUGCGAGGUCCGAAUAGGUUUAUCUCAAAGACUAAGUUGAGUCCGAGAUACAUGGGUCCGUUCAGGAUUGUUGAGAGGGUGGGACCAGUGGCAUACAGGUUAGAGUUGCCUGAUGUUAUGCGUGCGUUUCACAAGGUCUUUCAUGUGUCGAUGCUGAGGAAGUGUCUUCACAAGGAUGAUGAGGUGUUGGCUAAGAUUCCAGAGGAUCUUCAGCCCAACAUGACUUUGGAGGCGAGACAGGUGAGGGUUCUCGAGAGGAGGAUCAAGGAACUUCGGCGAAAGAAGAUUCCUUUGAUCAAAGUCAUGUGGGACUGCGAUGGUGUGACAGAGGAGACUUGGGAGCCAGAGGCGAGGAUGAAGGCAAGGUUCAAAAAGUGGUUCGAAAAGCAAGUUGCUGCAUGAGUUUGCCUAUUCUUGGUUUCCAGUUUCAGUGUUAUUGAGUUUUUGAGCUUUUGAGUUGUUGUUCUUAUUUCUCUUUCAUUUGUAUUUUCGUUUGGAGUUGUAACGAUCAUGACAUUUGAUGAUUAAUAAGAUGAGUAUUUUUUCUUGGAUUUGACUUGAGUUGUCUUAUUUAAGAAUGUGUUGUGCGGUUUCCAAAAAUGGAAAGUUUCCUACAAAGGACUUGUCUAUUUUUGGAAAGUUUGAGUAAACAACCUAAGAGAAAGGUGUGUUUACGAGAUGGCCGGGAGUUGGUCAUAAGGAUGUUCUCGAGGGGAUAUGAUGGAUGGGGAGGCAUAGAGGUGUCUUACGCGAAUCCAUGAGAGAGUCUGGAGAUAUGUUCGGAAGCGUUUAGUAUUGUUGCUCGAGGGACAUGAGGGUCUCAACGACUCGUGAGGAGCGGGGUAUGCUCCUGAGGUACCGGUAACUCGAGGGACAUGGUGUCUUUAGAGUACGAGGGGUACGGUGGCUUCGGGUGACGAUCCGAGAGCACGCUUUAGGGUGACGACCCGAGAGCGAGUUUUGUGGUAUUAUUUUCUCCAUGUGUCGUAACUCGAUGACUUUGUGGCUGAGAGUGAGCCGACACAACUCAGGGUUUGACUUUGACUGGGGAAGAUAAUACGUGUGAUACCCGAGAUACCGUAGGCCGAGGCCUGAGAGUGACGGUUUAUACACGAAGAUUGCGGUCCGAGAGUGGAGAGUGAGUUGUGAGCAACAAUGACUAGUAAAUCGCGAGUAUAUCGACUGGAUAGAGAGACCUAGAGGGGGUCUGGUUGGAGGGAGUGCGGACCGUAGUGAUGGUUGCACGGAGUUCCUCGGAGUGGAAGGGUGAAGCUAGAUUCGAGGACGAAUCUAUGUUAGUGGGGAGAAUUGUAACGCCCGUGAAUCGGAAAAUCGGUUAGGGUUUGUUUUUAAAUUAUCCGGUUUAAUUGGUUGGGUUAAUUGGAAACCCUAGAGUGUGCCUAUAAAAGAAGGAAACUCGAAAUUGGGGCUUUAAUUAGCCACUUUUUGUUUUUUAAAGGAGAAAAAGAGAGAAAAAGAGAAGGAGCAGAAUCGUUAGGGUUUGUGAGAAACCAGUUUCGUCAUAUCAAAUCGUGGUAAAAGGUAACGAAAUG
rnacentral:sRNA from 1 species